rnacentral:lncRNA from 1 species
GGGAAGUUUGGAUCACGUAGCAUCUGUGUUGACGUAACCUUCUUGAACUCGGAUAGGCAGUGGCAAGAGGGAAAAUACCACAGGCAAACAUACUAGCAACACGCUGUACGCAUACAUGUGCAUUUAUGUACACACGUGUCAUACACAGACGAUACUCCUGCGGGCUGACGUAGCACUUUCAGUAACCGAAAGUGGUGCGCCCGGUCAAUCAUCUACUGCAAUUUAACAUUGCUAUUCAAACAAACGCCACUGUCAAUAUUGGAAGAUGGCCGUUCGAAUGUUUGGUCACGUGGAUUAAACUAAUAAUUAGUCCCGGUACCCUGCUAACACUAAACAUACAACAGUCUGAGGAUACGCUACUGGAAAAGUUACAACCAAACGGUUGCAGCCGAUUGAUGGUUGGCGAAGGCAAAGCUCAAUACAAAGAUAAGAUACAUAAAUGUUUCACCCUAGUCAUUGGAAAUCAAUCCACAUGAAGAAGAGUGUAAGAAACUACAAAAGGCGCCAAGAAUGUUAAAUACCAGCAUCCUACGCCUACACAAUCAAAAAUGAAAAUAAAUUUAUGCUACUGACGCCAUGGUGCCUGAGUGGUCAACAUGUUAACAUUUUGAAAAUUUGAACAAAUAAAUAAUGGUACAUGUCUUCCAAACGCAUUUUUUUUAAUUAGCACUAUAUUUACAGUAGGUCUAGAAUAACUGUACUAUCAUCAACGGCUGAUUUAUAUUAAUGGACAACUGAGCCCAAGACGGCAACAAUCCAAGAGGGACCCAGGCAGCUGGCGGCUCUUGUGCCUCGCCUUCUAAUAAAUGACAUUCUAUUAGGCCUAUUAGAAUCACUAAAUGUCAUUUGAUGUUUUAACAUGUAACACUGUUGAUCUAGACUGCUAAAAAUUUAGUUCAUGUUGCUUGUACCUUCAGGGCAUCAACUUUUUGACAUAAAAUCCAUUUACCACAAUUUGGAAAGCUGUCUACCACCCAACACAAAUACAUUUUGGGCUAAAAAUAUAAUGUAAAUCUAAUAAAUAGGUUUAUUUCAGAUACUGUGUAUGGAAAAUCUCAAGAAAAGUAUGUAUGUUGUAUGGACACACACAUACAAAUACAUUACAAAUGCGACAUACGCAUGCAUGCAUGUACACCCACGGAAAAAAAAAUCCUGCCAGAUAGGUCAACGAAAAAGCAAAUGGGACUAUUAUUAGUAGAUAUUUUGAAACAAUUAAAAAACUACAGCAUUCUCAAUGAUCAGUUCACUAUAAAUAUGCCUACUAGUAAAUUCCUCCAUCAUUUCUUCACAAAUAUCAGUAUGUUAUUGAUUGUACAUUUAUCUAACUGUUUGCUAUUGUUGUGAAUUGAUGUCAGUGUAGUAGCUCAUAAAUUCUACACAAACUAUCUGAAAAUUGUAAAGUGAUUCAAGUCUGCUGACAUCAGCUAUUUUGGUGAAAGUUGAAACAACUUGUACCAGUGUCCUAGACUUUUUUUAAACAACACCUGUGGUACUGUUUCUUCCACCGCCUUCAUCCUCUAUUAACCAGAAAAAUAACAGCUGUAGCCUGUUACAGAAAAAAAAUUAAACUAUCAAGAAAAGACAUUCCUUUAAAAGAAAAUUCCUUUAGAUAUAUUUAUUUUAAAACUGCAUGAACAUUGAAGCUACAGUAUGACUGGUUUGUCUCCCUUGAGAGAAGGCCUACUGUGUAAAAGGUGUACUUAGAUACAGUGAACCUCUGGCUACAGGUUGAACACUUACAGCAGUCAGGAUAAAUCAAACCGCCCAAAAUAUUUAUAGAGUAGUACAGUGUUACGUCAUGAUACCACGUGAUACUACUCUGUUGCUAUCGUUGCAAAAAGCGUUCAACUGGAUGCCAUUUUCUUCACUGACAAACCAUUGAUCCCAA